UACGUAGGGUGCAAGCGUUAAUCGGAAUACUGGGCGUAAAGCGUGCGCAGGCGGUUAUGCAAGACAGAUGUGAAAUCCCCGGGCUCAACCUGGGAACUGCAUUUGUGACUGCAUGGCUGGAGUGCGGCAGAGGGGGAUGGAAUUCCGCGUGUAGCAGUGAAAUGCGUAGAGAUGCGGAGGAACACCGAUGGCGAAGGCAGCCCUC
rnacentral:rRNA from 1 species